UACGUAGGGUGCAAGCGUUGUCCGGAAUUAUUGGGCGUAAAGAGCUCGUAGGCGGUUUGUUGCGUCGGCUGUGAAAUCCCGAGGCUCAACCUCGGGUCUGCAGUCGAUACGAGCAAACUAGAGUGUUGCAGGGGAGACUGGAAUUCCUGGUGUAGCGGUGAAAUGCGCAGAUAUCAGGAGGAACACCGGUGGCGAAGGCGGGUCUCUGGGCAACAACUGACGCUGAGGCACGAAGGCCAGGGGAGCAAACGGG
rnacentral:rRNA from 1 species